GACCCGUCUUGAACCACGGAGUCUAGCAUGUAUGCGAGUCAUUGAGAUAAUAAAACUGAAAGGCGCAACGAAAGUGAAGGCGCGCGCUAGCCGCGCGCUCAGGGAGGAUGGAGCUUCGAUCUAGGUCGUACUCUCGCACUCCCGAGGCGUCUCGUUUCCAAUCUGUGAAUGCAGGCGCGCUCUGAGCAUAAAUGCUGGGACCCGAAAGAUGGUGAACUAUGCCUGGUCAGGUCGAAGUCAGGGGAAACCCUGAUGGAGGACCGUAGCGAUUCUGACGUGCAAAUCGAUCGUCGGAACUGGGUAUAGGGGCGAAAGACUAAUCGAACCAUCUAGUAGCUGGUUCCUUCCGA
rnacentral:rRNA from 1 species